rnacentral:rRNA from 1 species
UACGUAGGGUGCGAGCGUUAAUCGGAAUUACUGGGCGUAAAGCGUGCGCAGGCGGUUUUGUAAGCCAGAUGUGAAAGCCCCGGGCUUAACCUGGGAAUUGCGCUUAAGACUGGACUGCUUGAGUGCGGGAGAGGUGAGUGGAAUUCCCAGUGUAGAGGUGAAAUUCGUAGAUAUUGGGAAGAACACCAGUGGCGAAGGCGGCUCACUGGCCCGCAACUGACGCUGAGGCGCGAAAGCGUGGGGAGCAAACAGG